AAUGACUCUCGACAACGGAUAUCUCGGCUCUCGCAUCGAUGAAGAACGUAGCGAAAUGCGAUACUUGGUGUGAAUUGCAGAAUCCCGUGAACCAUCGAGUCUUUGAACGCAAGUUGCGCCCGAAGCCAUUAGGCCGAGGGCACGCCUGCCUGGGUGUCAUGC
rnacentral:rRNA from 1 species